UGUGCCAGAACAUGGAUGCUGACUGGAUUUGCAGGUCUGAUGUUUCAUUUCUGUCUCUUCAGCCAAGGCAGAUCAAUGUUCACAAGGGAUUUACAGGCGUGCCAGCUGCUGCCAACAAACCCCGGUGCUCUGGGACUCAAACAGCACUAAGGAGUCGCCCUGCUGAGUGCCACAGCAUCUGCAGCUGCCUCAGGUCGUGCUGCUGUUGUGCAUCUGAGUGCCAGUGCUAGAAAUGAAAAGGUUCAAAGAAUUGUGACACCAAGGAAAGGCCCAAAGCUGCACUCUGCUCCUGACAGUUUCUCUUCACAGCACCAUUUUCCUCUGAGCAUGUUCCAGUGUCUCUGCACUCCCUGCCCACUGCAGCAGCUGGGGCCAGCCAAAGCAGGCUCGCCUAGCCUGGUGUUCCUGCUGGGAGCUUCUCACAGCACGAGCAACCUCCUCUCCCGCACAUCACAGGUGUUCUCCACAUGAUGGGAGCAGGUGAGAGCACAGCUUUGCCAAACCAUGAUGAAGUUUGGUAGCUGAAACCCAAAAUCCGUGUUUGGCCUGAGAUCUGAAUCUGGCUCUCUGCUCCAUCCUCUGCUCCGAGCCAAAUCAAACUGCAGCUCGUCAUGAAAAGCAAACAGCACCGUGCUCUGAUCGUGUAAGAUCUGCAUCCAGCUCCAAACUCCGAGAGGAACCUUCUCCCUGGGUGUGUGUGUGGCACAGUGCUGCCAAUGCCUGGCAUGAUUCAGCAUUGCCUGUGGUUCCCUUGUUCCCUGCAUCCCUUCCCAGCAAAGACACGGCGUGGCAGAGCCCUGACCCCAGGUGUUGGCUCCCCUCUGCAAUCGUGCCUGAUUGAGCAUUACCAGGAAAUGCAGAAAUGUGGAGCCAGACUGGUACUGAGCAGUACAAGACUGAAGAUCUUUCUGUUAGUGGGUCUCACUCAGCACCAUCAGCUGAUAUCGCUUAAAGAGGUGCCGAUUCGCUGCAAAGCACAGGUGGAGAUAAAAAGGCUUUCUCUGGGAGCCAAGCAGCACGGAGGAGCUGGAGCCUUGGCAGGAGCAGGAGGUGCCCCAAGCAGCUCUGCAAGGAGUGAGUGCCCUCACUGCUCUGUCACCAGCAGUCCCUGGGAGCCAUCAGCACCCACCAGCCAUUCCCUGAGAUAA
rnacentral:lncRNA from 1 species